GUCACGGUGGUCUAGCAGUUAGAACGCCUGGCCUUGUAAUCCUGGGGUCUCGGGUUCGAUUCCCGGCGGUGCCC
rnacentral:tRNA from 1 species